rnacentral:rRNA from 1 species
AGCAGUAGCCGCGGGAAUACGUAGGGUGCGAGCGUUAAUCGGAAUUACUGGGCGUAAAGCGUGCGCAGGCGGUUUUGUAAGACAGGCGUGAAAUCCCCGGGCUCAACCUGGGAAUGGCGCUUGUGACUGUAAAGCUAGAGUGCGGCAGAGGGGGAUGGAAUUCCGCGUGUAGCAGUGAAAUGCGUAGAUAUGCGGAGGAACACCGAUGGCGAAGGCAAUCCCCUGGGCCUGCACUGACGCUCAUGCACGAAAGCGUGGGGAGCAAACAGGAUUAGAGACCCCAGUAGUCCCUGUCUCUUAUAC